rnacentral:rRNA from 1 species
UACAGAGACUGCAAGCGUUAUUCGGAUUCACUGGGCGUAAAGGGUGCGCAGGCGGCCAAGUGUGUCAGGUGUGAAAUCCCGAGGCUUAACCUCGGAACUGCGCCUGAAACUACUUGGCUAGAGUACUGGAGAGGGUAACGGAAUUCACGGUGUAGCAGUGAAAUGCGUAGAUAUCGUGAGGAACACCAGAGGCGAAGGCGGUUACCUGGACAGUUACUGACGCCCAGGCACGAAAGCGUGGGGAGCAAAAGGG